UGUGUGCAUACUGUGCAUGUGUUUGCAUGUGUGUAUGGUGUCUGUGUGUGUAUGCACAUGCUUUGUGUAUGUGUGUAUAAUGUAUGUUGUGUAUGUACACGUGUGUGCAUGUGUAUGUGUUUGUGUGUGUGUGUGUGUGUGUGUGUGUGUGUGUAAACGGGCAUGGAUACUCAGUCUAAAAUGUACAAAGAAAACCAAGGGAGAGGAAAGACUGGGCUGAGGCAAGCUGACAUCUGCGUCACGAGAGAGAAUUCCAGGCUGUGUUUUUCUCCCUUUCCCUCUUGUUUCAACUCCGUCACAGUUUUUCCUUUUAUAGUGAGUAGCAAGAAUGACUUGGCAUUUCAGAAGAGUCUGGUGUGGUAGUCUUCUGUGGCCGUGAUUGUGAAGAUUGGGGUUUCUUUCUCAUACCUUUGAUUGCACUAGGAAGCGAUCGUGACAAGUCACAGUGACCCCACUCAGAAAAAGUUCACCCAUCUCACAGAUGAGGGAACUGACGCUGGAGAAGUUGGACGAAACCCCGUCCUCAUCCUAGCAGGCCCUGCACCUCGGGAAGAAUCUCCACCACACUCUUUAGGAUGGACUAACACACCUCCCAGACUGUGAGUCAGAAGUCAGCCUGCCUUCCUGUAAUUGGUUUCUGCCUGGCUGUCUUGGCCACACUAAUAAGAAAAUUAAUGAAUGCCCUGGGCUUCAGAGAAAGUGUUUCAAGCGCCAGGAAGAGCAGCGGGGGAGCACAAUCAAUUCCAAGCUGAACCAGGACACAAAGGACAGAAGUGGCCACGCCCAAAGCAACAAGGGAUACUGUGGUCAUCUUUAGGAUCACAGCUAGAUGGGUCCCUGGAGCUGCCCACUGAGGAAUGUGAUAAAAACUGCCUCAGAAGGCAUCGGACCAGACCACUUUCUCCACGUAUUCAAGGAAGAAACGGCCCCCAUUCUUGCACAGACUCUUCUAAGCAGGAGGUCUGAACGGGCUGCUCCUUCAGAACUCAACAGCGUACAGAGGAGUUGAGUAACCGUGGUCCCCAAGCCUAACCAGACCCGUUGUAAUGAUCAGGACUUCUUGACUGGAGUGCACCUGUUAGUAAAAUGGAAGAAAAGAAACCGGUAAGGUUGGGAAAGAAAGACAGAAGGCCGUGAAGAAAUGUGUCUGACUAGCUUCUUAUAAAAACAUUCUAAGGAGGGCAGGGAGUUCAGGGCUGGGGGUGUAGUGUAGCUCAGUGUCAGAACUUACACUGGACAUGCACAAGGCUCUGGGUCUGAUUCAAACAUACAAAACAAACCUUGCCCUUGCUGCCAAGCCCGACAACCUGAGUUCAAUCGCCAAGACUUCCAUGGUGGAAGGAGAAAACCUUGGGGAAGGCCACAGUAAAAAGCUUGAAGAAAUAGAGCAUUAAAUUAGUAAAGUCUUUUUCUUAAAUUGCUUUGUACAAAACCCAAAGGAAGAGAUUAACUGAGCAGGGUGACACACUUGUAGUCCCAGCGCUCGGCAGGAGGAUCAAGAGUUCAAGGCCAGCCUCAAGUACAUAGCAGGCUUGAGGUUUGCCUGGGCUACAUGAGACCCUGCCUCAAAGAGCAAUUAAUUACAUUUUGAUUAUGUCACAUGACAACAGUCAGAGAAGCAUAGAUAAUAAAAACAUCAUGGCAUGCCGUGGUCCUUAGGAAUAAACACUAAAGAUGGCCUUAUGAGGCAUAAUGCCAUCGGCCUGCCAGACCUUUAAAGACUUAGAGAAUGGAGAGCUAUAUUGUGUUUUGAAGACAUAAGAUGUAUCAGCUCUCUGCAAAGACAGAAGGUGAGUACGCUCUCUGCAAAAGGAUCUGUGGAUCCCAGUCUGGAUGGCUAGGCUGCUGCUUCCUUUCAAAACUGGAAAACUUGAUCCUUAAUUUGCAAGUUGUAACAUAGUUACACACCACGAGGUUGCAUUUUGUAAAAGGAAGAUUCGCAUAUGUGUGCCGUGUGGAAAUGCUCUUUUUAAAAGCCCUUAAGUGGUCCUUCAAUCUCAGCACAGGCAGAGGCGGUGGAUCUCUGUGAAUUCAAGAGCAGCCUGGUCUACGUAGUGAGUUCCAGGCCAACCAGGGCUACACAGUGAGACCCUGUCUCCAAAACAAACCGGAAAAAGGUCCCAGGAGGUGUGUUCAUUUCAGUUUCUAUGUAACAAAUCAGUCCUUUCUCAGGGAGACGAGUUCUGCAGACUUAGGGGCAUGGCUGGAAAGUCCCAUAGCAGAAAUCAAGGUGCUCCUGAGGUCGAGUUCCUUUUUAAAAGCUCUGAAAAAUAAAAUCCAUUUCUAAGCCUUUUUUUUAGAAUUUUAAAAAUUAUAUUAUUUAUUUGAGGAGGUGUGAGUGUGUAGGUGCCAAGGUGUGUGUGUUGGUGGCAGGGGAGAUCAGAGCAGGACCUGGUUUUAUCCCGUUCCACCAAGGGGGUCUUGGGAAUUGAACUCAGGUUGUCGGGCUGGGCAGCAAGCCCCUUUACCUGCUGAGACAUCUCAUAGACCCAUACGUUCAUUCUUGCUGGCAAAAUUCAGUUUCUUGUGUUGUAGGACUGAAGGCCCCAGCUUCAUGCUGGUUGUUCCUAGAAGCUGCCACAGCCCUUGCCACACAGCACACUCAAGCUAGCCAUGGAAUUCAGAAGGACACUUGCAUUUCCAAUUGCCGCUUUUCUUUGUAUUCCUUAGGUCUUGGGGCACAUCUCCUAGAAUUUGGUUUCUAUGUUAAAUUCGGCAACAGCAGCAGCAAUCUGGAGAAUUCCCUUAAAACAUCAGAAGGUGCAUCAAUGCAUGGCUCUUGGGCCUCACUGACUGGCAGGGAGCAGGACCACCCUUCCCGGCAGCUGUGUUCUUCCCAGCUGUCCUGACACCAGGCACCUUGUGUCAUGUGCUGCCAAGGGUUGGAAGUGUCCGAAUCGCAACCCCAGGAUCUGGAAAGCCCCUAUUACAGAGCCAGACUUCACUCCGCUCUUCCCACUGGAGGAAAAGGAGGGAGUGGGGGAGAGGACACGUCGGUUCUCAUUACAGCCUUGUCUUGGUUGUUUCUAAGCUGCCACCAUGGUAAUCUCUUACUGUGAACAAUUUAGAAAUUAAACAGGCCUUCUGUUUAUGCCAGGGUUGUUUUUUUUUUUUUUUUUUUUUUUUUUUUCCCCUUCAAACCAAAGAAAACCAAGGGCUUGGGGAGAUGGCUCUGCUGGUAAAGCGUUUGCUUUGCAAGCCUGAAGACCCAUGUUUAAUGCCCAGAACUCACAUUAAAAACUAAAAUGUCAGGGCUGGUGACAAGCUGUAACUCCAGCACUAGGGAGUUAAAUACAGGCAGGUCCGGAUUGGUUUGCUAGCCAAUCAAUUUGGUGUAAUCAGUGAACCCCAGACCAGUUAGAGACUGUCUCAAAACCCAAGUGAAUGGUACCUGAGGAACAAUCCUCUGGCUUCCACACGCAGUGGCCAUGUGUAAGUCACACCAGCAUGUGUACAACCCCACAUAUUUGUGUGCAUGGGGUAGAGGAAGAGAUCAGAAGCUCUAUUUCUACCUCUUGCAACACAAGACUGUCUUUCCUUUCCCAUAGUCAACUGAACAAUUCUUUCUCUGAGGAGACUGGCCUGGCAGAGACCCUCAGCCAUCUGAAUUUGUUUCUCAGUGUUUAAAUUGUAUGCUUUCUAAAUAUUGUGGUGAAAGCUUGCUACAUUGUAACUAGGACAGGAGUCAUUCCUUGUCAGCGUAUCCACAGGGUGUAUGCUACCCUCCCAUUAGUCAUGGAGUGGCCAUCUUGGACUAUCAGUUUGACUGCCAUGGUAUCUAUCCUGACACCUCUGUUCAAAUUACUCUUAUUUAACCAUGGCCCCAGACCUGAGAAUGAUGCUGCUGUCAACUGGGAUGUGGCAAAGAGGAGCCCCAUGAAUCGCUUCCUUUUAAGAGUAGAGGAACAGUAAGACAUUUUGAGAGACUAUAUGCCUUUAACUUUUGUUACAGCAUAUUGCUAUAAUUGCUCUGUUAUGACUAAUUAUUGUGGCUAAUAUCUUACUGUGUCAAAUUUAUAAGUUAAACUUAAUCAAAGGUGAACAUGUGUAGGGAAAUCCACUGUAUGUAUAUGUAUAUGUGUAUGUGUAUGUGUAUGUGUAUGUGUAUGUGUAUGUGUAUGUGUAUGUGUAUGUGUAUGUGUAUAUGUAUAUGUAUAUAUUGAGUAUUGCUUACAGUUGCUGGCAUCUACCAGGAACCUUGGCCUGUAUCCUCAUAACAUUCUGUUGUGGGAUGGAGAGAUGGGUCUGCUGUUAAAGUACUUGCUGUGCAAGCCUAAGAACCAGAGUUCGGAUCCCCAGAGCCCCUGUAAGUGCUGGGCGGCCUCAGGACUUGCCUGUAAUUUGAGCACUAGGAAGGGUGAUCAAUAGAGCAAGCUAGUUAGCCAGAUUCACCAUACUGGUAAGCUCUGGAUUCAAGUGAGAGAGCCUGCUUCACUGGAUAAGACGGAGAACAUUCGAGGAAGACCCAGUAUUGGCUUCAGGCCUCCUAGCACAUGCACCGUUUCAUGCUCCCACGUGCAUGUGGAUAUACUCUACACACAUGAGGGAAAGGGAAGCUGUGAAACACUCUGUCCUCACGCUGUCAUCCGAACUUUGUUUUCCAGGCUCCAUUUAAGGGCGUGGUUGUUCUUAACUUAACAGGUCAGGCUUUCAGCUGGAAAGAUUUCUCAACCCCAGCGUUCUCUGAGAUCUGCUGGUGUCAAUGGCUGGAUCAAACCAAACACCACAAUCUAAUUACUUCGACUCCUCUUUUGUGUCCCUCCACCCCUGGGGUUUUAGGCCUUGAAAUUCUUUUGUUAAUAAUAGCCAUUAAAAAAAUGUAGUGUUAAAAUGUUCCAUUAUGGAGAAAGUACACCAGACCAUAAAAGUAGGGCCUCCCUAGUGAUUGUUUCAGAGUUGACGCAAAAGCACAGAUUUUAAUUCCUCGGAGAACUGGCUGUGCUGAAAUGUUUACAGAAGGUCAGGGGUCUCUCCUUCCCCCCCCCCCCCGGGGGGGGACAGAGACCCAGAGAUGUGGGCAGCCGUGAAGCCAGGCAGGCCUCUCAAGCUGUAUUUAUAUUGGAAAGAAGUCUGGAAAAUGCCCCCUGUGGUUUCCCCGGAGCCUGGAGGUGGGCCUCACAGGACCAAGGAAUGAAAACAAACCAAUGUGCUGUGUUUAGCACAAUUUACUAGGAAAGGUCCCUCUGAGAGCUCCAGAUGGGCCCGAGGGGCUAGAAAAGAAAUCAAAAGGGUAAGAGGGGCCAAGCACAGGGCAAGGCCAAAUAACAGUAAUAACGGUCAUAGAAAUAAUAAUUUUUAAAAAGUCAACCCGACUUGAUCGAGACAGUGGAAAAUUUACAAACAUGGCCGUGGCAAUCCAGCACAUUGGAGUGGAUAUGAGACAAUUUGUUUUCAAGUCCUCAAGUCCCAUUCGGGUCAUGAAGUCACUCCCUGAGGACUGGCUGAGCUGUUCUCUUUCCAGGGUGUCCCUGCUCUUUCAACUCACACCCAGGAGGCCAUGUGGCCUGGUUGUUGUCAUUUGCACUCACUCUCUGGGGCCUGGCAGACACAAACAACUCCUGGUAGUUGGUUGGCUUAACCUUUAUUAUGUUCCCAAAGCCUUUGUGUGAUUGCCAGACAGAUGGACAGAUGGAUGGACAGACAGGUGGGUGGAUAGAUGGAUGGGUGGAUUUUUGGGUGUGUGGCUGGGUGGAUGGAUGGGUGGGUGGAUUGGUGGGUGGGUGAAUGGGUGGAUGGGUGGGUGGGUAGGUAGAUGGGUGGCUGGGUGGCUGGGUGGGUGGCUGGGUGGGUUGAUGGAUGGAUGGGUGGAUGGGUGGAUGGGUGGGUGGAUGGAUGGGUGGCUGGGUUGCUGGGUGGGUGGGUGAGUGGGUGGAUGGAUGGAUGAUGGAUGGAUGGGUGGGUGAGUGGUUGUGUGGAUGAGUGGCUGGGUGGAUGGGUGGGUGGGUGAGUGGGUGGAUGGAUGGAUGAUGGAUGGAUGGGUGGGUGAGUGGUUGUGUGGAUGAGUGGCUGGGUGGCUGGGUGACUGGGUGGCUGGGUGGGUGGGUGGAUGAAUGGGUGGCUGGGUGGCUGGGUGGGUGGCUGGCUGGCUGGCUGGGUGGGUGGCUGGGUGGAUAGAUAGAUGAUGUUCACAAUCAGCCCUAGCCAUUUGAGAGGCUCAUGUGUGUUGUAGUCAUGAGUAGAAGGCAUCCGUGUGCCUCCUCUCUGCCAUCUUCUGAUGGUUUGCCUUUCUCUGCUCUAGGACUCACGUAUCAGGGUUUUUGUGACCAGAAUACACCAACCUCAGCCCUUCCUCAAGGUUUGUCCAGCAUGGGAUGAUGAGAUUACUCAAUGGCUGAGCAUCCUCACUGUAUAAUGGGCCUGAGUUCAGACCCCAGCACACUUAUAAGAAGCUAGGGGUGGUCCUGGGCAUCCCUGCAGCCCCAACACUGCAGAGAGUGGAGACAGGACGCUCAGAGCAGAAUGUCUGAUGUCGUCCUCGGCCUCCCCAUGCACCCACCUCCACCUGUGUGCAUAACACACUCACAUACACACACAUACACACACACAGUGGUACACAUUCUCACACAUGCACACAUGCUCACACACAACAGUAAUUACUCUUGCACAUGCACAUAUGCACACACACAUUGAUACAUAAUCUCUCACAUGCAUACACACAUGCACAAACAUGUCCACAGCGAUACACACUCUUGCACACACAUGUGCGCACACACACACACACGUGCACACACAGUAAAUGUAACAAAAAAUGAUGGCCGAUAUCAAGAUGCUGAGUGUUGGUACUAAGAUGUAUUUGCCAUGUGUCUGGUCCUACCCGGUUUAUAUAAACACCUUUCCUAGUCAAA